UACGUAGGGGGCAAGCGUUGUCCGGAUUUAUUGGGCGUAAAGAGCGUGUAGGCGGCCAGACAGGUCCGUUGUGAAAACUCGAGGCUCAACCUCGAGACGCCGAUGGAAACCGUCUGGCUAGAGUCCGGAAGAGGAGAGUGGAAUUCCUGGUGUAGCGGUGAAAUGCGCAGAUAUCAGGAGGAACACCUAUGGCGAAGGCAGCUCGCUGGGACGUUACUGACGCUGAGACGCGAAAGCGUGGGGAGCAAACAGG
rnacentral:rRNA from 1 species